rnacentral:lncRNA from 1 species
UCAAAUGCAAAAGGUAUAAACGCAUAUUGAUUUUCGGGACACGCUCUUUCGUGUUUGACCACUUUACUUGAAGUAGCUUUGAGGGCCGUCUAUCCUAUAGUAAAAUCCCCAGUCGUUAAUCGCACAAGUGGAGAAACUCCACUCAAGUCCACACAUGCAUGUUUCCUUCCUACUCAGCCGUAUACUAGAAUAUUGGUCUGCCUCAAUGUAGAUCUCCCCUCCAAUGGGUCAGUUAAGAAAUUCACAGGCGUCUCAUUCUUCACAGAUAGAGCCAAAUUUCAUUUCCCCGAUUUGGAGGCUGUCGCGGUGAUUUUCGGAGAUCAAAGCUAUUGAUUAGACUUUGACUCGCAAAAUAAGAAGUCACCACCGAACUUUAAUUUUUCCAAGGGAAGGGAAAAAGAUCGAAUAAAACCCAC